UUUUAUGGAGAGUUUGAUCCUGGCUCAGAGUGAACGCUGGCGGCGUGCCUAAUACAUGCAAGUCGAACGAUGAAGCUUCUAGCUUGCUAGAGUGCUGAUUAGUGGCGCACGGGUGAGUAACGCAUAGGUCAUGUGCCUCUUAGUUUGGGAUAGCCAUUGGAAACGAUGAUUAAUACCAGAUACUCCCUACGGGGGAAAGAUUUAUCGCUAAGAGAUCAGCCUAUGUCCUAUCAGCUUGUUGGUAAGGUAAUGGCUUACCAAGGCUAUGACGGGUAUCCGGCCUGAGAGGGUGAACGGACACACUGGAACUGAGACACGGUCCAGACUCCUACGGGAGGCAGCAGUAGGGAAUAUUGCUCAAUGGGGGAAACCCUGAAGCAGCAACGCCGCGUGGAGGAUGAAGGUUUUAGGAUUGUAAACUCCUUUUGUUAGAGAAGAUAAUGACGGUAUCUAACGAAUAAGCACCGGCUAACUCCGUGCCAGCAGCCGCGGUAAUACGGAGGGUGCAAGCGUUACUCGGAAUCACUGGGCGUAAAGAGCGCGUAGGCGGGAUAGUCAGUCAGGUGUGAAAUCCUAUGGCUUAACCAUAGAACUGCAUUUGAAACUACUAUUCUAGAGUGUGGGAGAGGUAGGUGGAAUUCUUGGUGUAGGGGUAAAAUCCGUAGAGAUCAAGAGGAAUACUCAUUGCGAAGGCGACCUGCUGGAACAUUACUGACGCUGAUUGCGCGAAAGCGUGGGGAGCAAACAGGAUUAGAUACCCUGGUAGUCCACGCCCUAAACGAUGGAUGCUAGUUGUUGGAGGGCUUAGUCUCUCCAGUAAUGCAGCUAACGCAUUAAGCAUCCCGCCUGGGGAGUACGGUCGCAAGAUUAAAACUCAAAGGAAUAGACGGGGACCCGCACAAGCGGUGGAGCAUGUGGUUUAAUUCGAAGAUACACGAAGAACCUUACCUAGGCUUGACAUUGAGAGAAUCCGCUAGAAAUAGUGGAGUGUCUAGCUUGCUAGACCUUGAAAACAGGUGCUGCACGGCUGUCGUCAGCUCGUGUCGUGAGAUGUUGGGUUAAGUCCCGCAACGAGCGCAACCCCCUUUCUUAGUUGCUAACAGGUCAUGCUGAGAACUCUAAGGAUACUGCCUCCGUAAGGAGGAGGAAGGUGGGGACGACGUCAAGUCAUCAUGGCCCUUACGCCUAGGGCUACACACGUGCUACAAUGGGGUGCACAAAGAGAAGCAAUACUGCGAAGUGGAGCCAAUCUUCAAAACACCUCUCAGUUCGGAUUGUAGGCUGCAACUCGCCUGCAUGAAGCUGGAAUCGCUAGUAAUCGCAAAUCAGCCAUGUUGCGGUGAAUACGUUCCCGGGUCUUGUACUCACCGCCCGUCACACCAUGGGAGUUGUGUUUGCCUUAAGUCAGGAUGCUAAAUUAGCUACUGCCCACGGCACACACAGCGACUGGGGUGAAGUCGUAACAAGGUAACCGUAGGUGAACCUGCGGUUGGAUCACCUCCUUUCUAGA
rnacentral:rRNA from 1 species